CACUCCUGCGGGAGGCAGCAGUGGGGAAUAUUGGACAAUGGGCGCAAGCCUGAUCCAGCCAUGCCGCGUGAGUGAUGAAGGCCCUAGGGUUGUAAAGCUCUUUCACCGGUGAAGAUAAUGACGGUAACCGGAGAAGAAGCCCCGGCUAACUUCGUGCCAGCAGCCGCGGUAAUACGAAGGGGGCUAGCGUUGUUCGGAUUUACUGGGCGUAAAGCGCACGUAGGCGGACUAUUAAGUCAGGGGUGAAAUCCCGGGGCUCAACCCCGGAACUGCCUUUGAUACUGGUAGUCUUGAGUUCGAGAGAGGUGAGUGGAAUUCCGAGUGUAGAGGUGAAAUUCGUAGAUAUUCGGAGGAACACCAGUGGCGAAGGCGGCUCACUGGCUCGAUACUGACGCUGAGGUGCGAAAGCGUGGGGAGCAAACAGGAUUAGAUACCCCAGUAGUCCCA
rnacentral:rRNA from 1 species